GAGAAGGCCGGUCGCAGCCGGAGCGGGGAGGAGCGGCCCGGCCUAUUUUUCCACGAAUGGCCGCCGCCGGGCCGUGGCGUAGCCGCCCGCCUCUCCGCCGCCGGCCUCGGCCCGCCGCCGGUUUCCUCUGGCCCUCGUGCUGCCUGUUGGCCGCCAUGGCAUGGUGGCUCAGGUUGAGGCAGGGCUCGCCGUGGUGUGGUGUGGUGAAAGAAGUGGAGGGUUUGUGGGGCUGGCAGCGGCCAAGCCUGCCAGCGCCAUUUUGAUUUGGGAGAACAUCGGUGCUACUGCACAGGCGUGGAUGACAAAGCUUUUGAUCUUCGAUUCAAGCCUCUGGGGUGAGGGAACUGUGGAAAUACCAAGCCUCUCCAUUGAAGACAAAUAAAACAAGAGGAAAUAUAAA